rnacentral:rRNA from 1 species
GACGAACCGUGCAAACGUUGUUCGGAAUCACUGGGCUUAAAGGGCGCGUAGGCGGGCAAGCAAGUCCGGGGUGAAAUCUUUCGGCCCAACCGGAAAAGGGCCUUGGAUACUGCUUGUCUGGAGGGAGGUAGGGGCAGACGGAACUUCCGGUGGAGCGGUGAAAUGCGUAGAGAUCGGAAAGAACACCAACGGCGAAAGCACUCUGCUGGGCCGACACUGACACUGAGAGACGAAAGCUAGGGGAGCGAAUGGG